rnacentral:rRNA from 1 species
CAAUAGCGUAUAUUAAAGUUGUUGCAGUUAAAAAGCUCGUAGUUGGAUUUGUGGCUGUCACGGGCGGCCUAUCACUUAGUGUUAGUGCUUGCCUGUGUCGCCAUCCUUGGGUGGAGCCCGUGUGGCAUUAGGUUGUCGUGCGGGGGAUGCCCAUCGUUUACUGUGAGAAAAUUAGAGUGUUCAAAGCAGGCUUAUGCCGUUGAAUAUGUUAGCAUGGAAUAAUAAGAUAGGACCUCGGUAUUAUUUUGUUGGUUUGCGCACCGAGGUAAUGAUUAAUAGGGACAGUUGGGGGUAUUCGUAUUUCAUUGUCAGAGGUGAAAUUCUUGGAUUUCUGAAAGACGAACUACUGCGAAAGCAUUUACCAAGGAUGUUUUCAUUAA